rnacentral:ncRNA from 2 species
GGCCCAGAUUUCUCGGAUUCCUGGCCUCCCACAGGCACCCCAAGUGCUGAUCUGGGACGAUGCCCGGGAGGGCAAGGACUCCAAGGAGAAGCUGGUGCUGGAGUUCACCUUCACCAAGCCAGUGCUUUCUGUGCGCAUGCGCCAUGACAAGAUCGUGAUCGUGCUGA